GUGUCAGCCGCCGCGGUAAUACCGGCAGCCCGAGUGAUGGCCGAUCUUAUUGGGCCUAAAGCGUCCGUAGCUGGCCGCACAAGUCCAUCGGAAAAUCCACCCGCCCAACGGGUGGGCGUCCGGUGGAAACUGUGUGGCUUGGGACCGGAGGGCGCGACGGGUACGUUCGGGGUAGGAGUGAAAUCCCGUAAUCCUGGACGGACCGCCGAUGGCGAAAGCACGUCGCGAGAACGGAUCCGACAGUGAGGGACGAAAGCCAGGGUCUCGAACCGGAUUAGAAACCCGGGUAGUCC
rnacentral:rRNA from 1 species